GGAGGUAUAGCUCAGUUGUAGAGCACGUGCUUAGCACAGGUCCUGAGUUCAAUCCCCAGUACCUCCA
rnacentral:tRNA from 1 species